rnacentral:rRNA from 1 species
UGAGGAACAUGACCUUCGGCGGGGGAUAGCCGGCCCAACGGCCGGGUAAUACCGCGUACGACCACAUGGGGACAUCCCUGAGUGGUGAAAGCAGCAAUGCGCCGAUGGAGUACCUCGCGGCCUAUCAGCUAGUUGGUGUGGGUAAUGGCCCACCAAGGCGACGACGGGUAGCCGGCCUGAGAGGGUGACCGGCCACACUGGGACUGAGACACGGCCCAGACUCCGUACGGGAGGCAGCAGGG